rnacentral:rRNA from 1 species
AGUGAAGUCAUUGAUGCCAUGCUUCCAGGAAAAGCCUCUAAGCUUCAGAUAGUCAGGAAUCGUACCCCAAACCGACACAGGUGGUCGGGUAGAGAAUACCAAGGCGCUUGAGAGAACUCGGGUGAAGGAACUAGGCAAAAUGGUACCGUAACUUCGGGAGAAGGUACGCUCUUGAUGGUGAAGUCCCUCGCGGAUGGAGCUGACGAGAGUCGCAGAUACCAGGUGGCUGCAACUGUUUAUUAAAAACACAGCACUGUGCAAAAUCGCAAGAUGACGUAUACGGUGUGACGCCUGCCCGGUGCCGGAAGGUUAAUUGAUGGGGUUAGCGCAAGCGAAGCUCUUGAUCGAAGCCCCGGUAAACGGCGGCCGUAACUAUAACGGUCCUAAGGUAGCGAAAUUCCUUGUCGGGUAAGUUCCGACCUGCACGAAUGGCGUAAUGAUGGCCACGCUGUCUCCACCCGAGACUCAGUGAAAUUGAAAUCGCUGUGAAGAUGCAGUGUACCCGCGGCUAGACGGAAAGACCCCGUGAACCUUUACUACAGCUUGGCACUGAACAUUGAACCUACAUGUGUAGGAUAGGUGGGAGGCUAUGAAGACGUGACGCCAGUUGCGUUGGAGCCGUCCUUGAAAUACCACCCUUGUAUGUUUGAUGUUCUAACUUAGACCCGUUAUCCGGGUUGAGGACAGUGCCUGGUGGGUAGUUUGACUGGGGCGGUCUCCUCCCAAAGAGUAACGGAGGAGCACGAAGGUGGGCUAAUCACGGUUGGACAUCGUGAGGUUAGUGCAAUGGCAUAAGCCCGCUUAACUGCGAGAAUGACGGUUCGAGCAGGUGCGAAAGCAGGUCAUAGUGAUCCGGUGGUUCUGUAUGGAAGGGCCAUCGCUCAACGGAUAAAAGGUACUCCGGGGAUAACAGGCUGAUACCGCCCAAGAGUUCAUAUCGACGGCGGUGUUUGGCACCUCGAUGUCGGCUCAUCACAUCCUGGGGCUGAAGUCGGUCCCAAGGGUAUGGCUGUUCGCCAUUUAAAGUGGUACGCGAGCUGGGUUUAGAACGUCGUGAGACAGUUCGGUCCCUAUCUGCCGUGGGCGUUGGAAGAUUGAAGGGGGCUGCUCCUAGUACGAGAGGACCGGAGUGGACGAACCUCUGGUGUUCGGGUUGUGUCGCCAGACGCAUUGCCCGGUAGCUAAGUUCGGAAUUGAUAAGCGCUGAAAGCAUCUAAGCGCGAAGCGAGCCCUGAGAUGAGUCUUCCCUGACAGUUUAACUGUCCUAAAGGGUUGUUCGAGACUAGAACGUUGAUAGGCAGGGUGUGUAAGCGUUGUGAGGCGUUGAGCUAACCUGUACUAAUUGCCCGUGAGGCUUAACCAU